rnacentral:rRNA from 1 species
AUGAACGCUGGCGGCGUGCCUCAUACCUGCAAGUCGCGCGAACAGACGAGGAGCUUGCUCCUCUGACGUUAGCGGCGGACGGGAGAGUAACACGUGGAUAACCUACCUAUAAGACUGGGAUAACUUCGGGAAACCGGAGCUAAUACCGGAUAAUAUAUUGAACCGCAUGGUUCAAUAGUGAAAGACGGUUUUGCUGUCACUUAUAGAUGGAUCCGCGCCGCAUUAGCUAGUUGGUAAGGUAACGGCUUACCAAGGCAACGAUGCGUAGCCGACCUGAGAGGGUGAUCGGCCACACUGGAACUGAGACACGGUCCAGACUCCUACGGGAGGCAGCAGUAGGGAAUCUUCCGCAAUGGGCGAAAGCCUGACGGAGCAACGCCGCGUGAGUGAUGAAGGUCUUCGGAUCGUAAAACUCUGUUAUUAGGGAAGAACAAAUGUGUAAGUAACUAUGCACGUCUUGACGGUACCUAAUCAGAAAGCCACGGCUAACUACGUG